AAAAAAAUAAGUUAAUAAAACUACUGGGUUCAUACCCCAUUUAUAAGGACUUCAAUCCUUUUUUUUUA
rnacentral:tRNA from 1 species